CGGACGGGUGAGUAACGCGUGGAAAACCUGCCUUAUACUGGGGGAUAACACUUAGAAAUAGGUGCUAAUACCGCAUAAGCGCACAGCUUCGCAUGAAGCGGUGUGAAAAACUCUGGUGGUAUACGAUGGUUCCGCGUCUGAUUAGCUAGUUGGUGGGGUAAUGGCCUACCAAGGCAACGAUCAGUAGCCGGCCUGAGAGGGUGAACGGCCACAUUGGGACUGAGACACGGCCCAAACUCCUACGGGAGGCAGCAG
rnacentral:rRNA from 1 species